rnacentral:lncRNA from 1 species
UUAAACUAAAUCCCUUUCCACACCACACUGACCAAACUGGAGGAAAAGAAUCUACACCAGGCUCACAGGAAUAUCUCCGCAGGAGCAAACAGAAAUCCAGAUAUGGGUACACAGCCUUCCAAGCAGUGGGUUCCUGUAGCCCAGACUGAGUGUUCGCAUUCAUGGCUCAGAGGUUGAUAAUGAGAACAGGAGGAGGGUCCGAGAGCUUCUGUCAGCCAUUCAGAACCAGCCUCAGAGAAGCAGAGUCACUGCCCAGAAGAAACAAAGUGGACCUGAAAAAAAGCUCCUGUUUGUCCAAAUGAUACCAUGUACGCCAAGCAAGCCCCCUGGGCUCCUGUGCUGGCCUGCAGCCAUCUUGCUGCCUGGCCACAUCCUCUGGUCCCUGGAGAGGCAAGCCAAAGGCUGAAGUUAGAUGAGCAGAGGGUUCCAACCUCACUCUGGGAAACUGAUCUGCCUUGUCAGGGCCUGGAUUCCCAACAUAAUGGAACAGCUGAGAGACGCUAGUUGAACACAAAAAUCACCCAAGAAGGCCAAUCUGUGAUACUGCAGAAGACCUAAUUGUAGUACAUGUGUUUGAAACACACCCUGGAACAGGGUGGUGAUUUAGUUGAUUGGCUGAAUAGCUUGUUGGUUAAGUGAGUGAAUGAAUGAGUGGGUAUAUCAAGUUUUUUAAAUUAAAUGAGAUUAAAUGUUGUUAAAAGGUCCUUUCUGAGUUUCUAAGAUGCUGAUCACCUUGGUGUGAUUAAAUUUGGGGUUAAAUCCUAAUGUGUUCAUUAGUAUCUGAUGAUGAUAAACUGACAUUUUUAACUAUAAUUAUUUUGUUGCCCUCUAUUCUCCUUUCUAGAAUUUAAGUUCUUUGAGGGCAGGAGUGGUCUGUCUUAUUCACUGCUUUAUUUUCAGGGUCUAAUGCAGAGAAAAUCCACAAAUAAAUCUUUACUGAAUGAAUGAAUGUGUUGACUCUUUAAUCUCCAAGUUGCUAGAUACUUCUGGAAAGGAUAUUUUUUUUCCUAAUUAAAAAAAAAACAGUGGUUUUGCCAUCUGCUGCGUAAGCGCAAGGACCCGAGUUUGAUCCCCGGUACCAAAACAAAAAAAAACAACAAAAAAAAUCACUCUUUUUCAGACCAAAGAUGAGAACUUUCUGGUGUUCCCUUUUCCCAUUGCUAUGAAUGUAGACUGUAAAGUCAGAUCUUGUGAUAGUCAUCUCACAACCAAUACUAACAAAAAUGAGGAAACUGCACCUAAAGAAUGUAAACCAGAAACAGUCAGAGAUGCCCUGACUUCUUAGGCUUCACUGAAUCAUUGAAUCAUCCCUGAACCAAUUACCUCUGGCAUACCCAUGUGUGUGUUACUAUGUCCAGCUUAAACGUCUUCUUCAGUAAGAUAAUAUGAAUAUCUCUAAUAUUUUGAAUCACAGUCUCAUUCUAUUUUCUAUUUUCUGCAUUCAAAUACUUCAUAACUGAUACUUUUUUUACAUGUACUUUAGAUAGGACAGAGACUGUUUUAUUCAACUCGUUAUUUUCAAGCA